rnacentral:rRNA from 1 species
UAAACUGAAGAGUUUGAUCCUGGCUCAGAUUGAACGCUGGCGGCAUGCCUAACACAUGCAAGUC